rnacentral:rRNA from 1 species
UGGGGAAUAUUGGACAAUGGGGGGAACCCUGAUCCAGCCAUGCCGCGUGUGUGAAGAAGGCCUUAUGGUUGUAAAGCACUUUAAGCGAGGAGGAGGCUCUUCUAGUUAAUACCUAGGAUGAGUGGACGUUACUCGCAGAAUAAGCACCGGCUAACUCUGUGCCAGCAGCCGCGGUAAUACAGAGGGUGCGAGCGUUAAUCGGAUUUACUGGGCGUAAAGCGUGCGUAGGCGGCUUUUUAAGUCGGAUGUGAAAUCCCCGAGCUUAACUUGGGAAAUGCAUUCGAUACUGGGGAGCUAGAGUAUGGGAGAGGAUGGUAGAAUUCCAGGUGUAGCGGUGAAAUGCGUAGAGAUCUGGAGGAAUACCGAUGGCGAAGGCAGCCAUCUGGCCUAAUACUGACGCUGAGGUACGAAAGCAUGGGGAGCAAACAGG